UACGGAGGGGGCUAGCGUUGUUCGGAAUUACUGGGCGUAAAGCGCACGUAGGCGGCUUUUUAAGUCAGAGGUGAAAGCCCGGGGCUCAACUCCGGAAUUGCCUUUGAGACUGGAAGGCUUGAUCGUCGGAGAGGUGAGUGGAAUUCCGAGUGUAGAGGUGAAAUUCGUAGAUAUUCGGAAGAACACCAGUGGCGAAGGCGGCUCACUGGACGACUGAUGACGCUGAGGUGCGAAAGCGUGGGGAGCAAACAGG
rnacentral:rRNA from 1 species